rnacentral:misc_RNA from 1 species
AAGUCGUAACAAGGUAACCGUAGGUGAACCUGCGGUUGGAUCAUUAGCGUUUUUAGCAGCGCGCCGUUGUUGUGACCGUUUGUGGAGGGUAGUGUUUCGUUUUGGUUUUGGUUUGUCUUUUGUGUUUGUCUUGUCGUUUGUUUUGUCGUUUGUCUUUUGGUUGGUGUUUGUCGUUUGACUUGUCGUUUGUGUUUCAUCUAUAUUUAUAUCUAUAUCUAUAUCUAUGACCACAUCGACAUGGACAUCGACAACCACAAGCCUCAUGGACAUGGACAACCACAAACCUCAUGGACAGCCACUUCCAAAACUGAAACACGACUCUCGACUACACGCCAAUAAACACUUUUCUUUGCUUUGAUUUCGACUAAACUAAAACAACUUUUGACAACGGAUCUCUUGGCUCUC